AUUGAACGCUGGCGGCAUGCCUUACACAUGCAAGUCGAACGGCAGCACGGGAGCUUGCUCCUGGUGGCGAGUGGCGAACGGGUGAGUAAUACAUCGGAACGUACCCUGAAGUGGGGGAUAACGUAGCGAAAGUUACGCUAAUACCGCAUAUUCUGUGAGCAGGAAAGAGGGGGAUCGCAAGACCUCUUGCUUUAGGAGCGGCCGAUGUCGGAUUAGCUAGUUGGUGAGGUAAAGGCUCACCAAGGCGACGAUCCGUAGCGGGUCUGAGAGGAUGAUCCGCCACACUGGGACUGAGACACGGCCCAGACUCCUACGGGAGGCAGCAGUGGGGAAUUUUGGGACAAUGGGCGCAAGCCUGAUCCAGCCAUGCCGCGUGAGUGAAGAAGGCC
rnacentral:rRNA from 1 species